AGCGGAAACUUCUUAAGGAGGACCACGCGGGUUGCGGCGGCCGGCCCCGGGGUCCCCGUAGAGGUCGGCCCGUUGACCCCCAGAAAUUUCAGAGAGGCCAGCAGGACUGGAAGGAAGUUUUCCUUGAACCGCCAUGCCUUCAUUGGAACCCCCAUCUAUGCCAUGUGGUUUCCAUAGCACCUGUGGUUACUCUACAAAGUUUUUAAAAGACAGGAAAGUACAAAGAUUCAACUUCUGGGACCACGAGGGACUAAGAAGUACGGGACCAUCUGAUUCUAACAGAACUGCUGAAAAAAAGAUAGCAAUGCAUGAAAGGAAGAAAGGAGGAGCUCGGGGGGUGAGAUGAGAAGAGAGAACCCAGAAGCACCCAUCUGUGUUUGAUGUGAAAAUAAGCCCAAAUGGCUGACUGGAGGUGACUUGUGACCAACACCAGGCCAACUGCUGGGCACAUACUGUACUUCACAGUCAAGAACAUUGAAAAAAAAAUCCAGACAAAUAUGGGGACAGAUUUCCUGUUCACCCCCAGCUGUGAUUAUCCCAGUAUGUGGAAUAACAUACACAACAAUGGGAGAGACAGGAAGCCAAACGCUAGUCACGGAUGGAGUGAUGGAUGUGGGAACAGGUUGUGUGGAGCUACUCAGUCUUUUUUAAUAAUCCAGUUAGCUGGUGACUUUGUGUAAGUCCUCCCUGGUUCUAGGAAGAACACCAAACUGCAGUCUUGGCCUGGCCUCUCCAGCAAGAGCACCAACUGAAUGAACCAGUCAUACCCAAAAGUAAUCUGACUGGGAGAAGCACAGUUGCUGUUAAGCCAAUGAAAUGCAAGGCAGGUUGGAUAACUGCGUGGUUGUGACACUGUCAUCCCCUUCUGGUAAAAAUCAUCGCCUGCAAUGGCAGAUCGCCCACUGCUUCCACUUCGUGGCCAAUCUUUCAAUCUUCCUGAUAAAUGUGCCCCAGCUUUGUAGCCUCCUCCAGUAUCAAGAGUGGAGUUUGUAUGGAGAUCCUUCGGGAACCGAUGUCAAAUGCUCAACAAAUGUUCUGUUAAGUUUGGUCUGCAGCAGGCUGGAAAAGGAGCAGAUUAAAGGAAUAAAAUAUGGCCCGCACAGUCUUGGAGAGCACCAGCCA